rnacentral:ncRNA from 4 species
GCCAAAUGCCUCGUCAUCUAAU